rnacentral:rRNA from 1 species
CUCCGGUUGAUCCUGCCGGACCCGACUGCUAUCAGAGUGAGAUUAAGCCAUGCGAGUUAACGUAGCAAUACGUGGCGCACGGCUCAGUAACACGUAGUCAACAUGCCCAGAGGACGUGGAUAACCUCGGGAAACUGAGUCUAAACCGCGAUAAGUGAGGAUUUCUGGAAUGGUUCCUGACUAAAAUCUAUAUGGCCUCUGGAUUGGACUGCGGCCGAUCAGGCUGUUGGUGAGGUAAUGGCCCACCAAACCUGUAACCGGUACGGGCUCUGAGAGGAGGAGCCCGGAGAUGGGCACUGAGACAAGGGCCCAGGCCCUAUGGGGCGCAGCAGGCGCGAAACCUCUGCAAUAGGCGAAAGCCUGACAGGGUUACUCUGAGUGACUUUCGCUAAGAAAGUCUUUUGGUACCUCUAAAAAGGGUGCAGAAUAAGGGGUGGGCAAGUCUGGUGUCAGCCGCCGCGGUAAUACCAGCACCCCGAGUGGUCGGGACGAUUAUUGGGCCUAAAGCAUCCGUAGCCGGUUCUGCAAGUCCCCCGUUAAAUCCAGCUGCUCAACAGAUGGGCCGCGGAGGAUACUACAGAGCUAGGAGGCAGGAGAGGCAAGCGGUACUCAGUGGGUAGGGGUAAAAUCCGUUGAUCCAUUGAAGACCACCAGUGGCGAAGGCGGCUUGCCAGAAUGCGCUCGACGGUGAGGGAUGAAAGCUGGGGGAGCAAACCGGAUUAGAUACCCGGGUAGUCCCAGCCGUAAACGAUGCAGACUCGGUGAUGGGUUGGCUUCGCGCUAACCCAGUGCCGCAGGGAAGCCGUUAAGUCUGCCGCCUGGGUAGUACGGUCGCAAGACUGAAACUUAAAGGAAUUGGCCGGGGGAGCCA